AUACGGAGGAUCCGGGCGUUAUCCGGAAUUACUGGGUUUAAAGGGUGCGUAGGCGGGGCUUUAAGCCGGCGGUGAAAUGCAGCGGCUCAACCGCUGGAAUGCCGUUGGGACUGGGGCUCUUGGAUACGGUCGGGGCGGGUGGAACUCGUGGUGUAGCGGUGAAAUGCAUAGAUAUCACGAGGAACGCCGGUAGCGAAGGCAGCUCGCCGGGCCGGGAUUGACGCUGAGGCACGAAAGCGUGGGGAUCGAACAGGAUUAGAUACCCUGGUAGUCCACGCCGUAAACGAUGAUGGCUGGGUGUUGGCGAUAGACGGUCAGCGCCUGAGGGAAACCAUUAAGCCAUCCACCUGGGGAGUACGGCCGCAAGGCUGAA
rnacentral:rRNA from 1 species